CAUCCUGAUUUCGCAGAUCACGGAAUCAUUUAACCCGGAAAAAGCCCUUCAGACGAAGGAGCCCCACCCGCAAGGCGCUGUGGCCCAGCCUCGGCCGCUCCCCGGCGCCGCCGCCACAGCCCGGCACCGGCAGCAUCCCAGAGCAGGCCCCGGCACUGUCAGAGCCACACCAGAGACACCUGGCUUGGCGAAACCCCCUUUCAUUGGCAAUACAGAGCAGCUGCGAAGCCUCAACAAAAGUUGAAGAAAGGAGUCAAGACUUUUAGGUCUUCACUCCAGAUGGAAGUAGCGUCUGUUAUCAGCUGUAUUGUGUAAAUGUGGGAGACAUAAUGAAGACUUCUGAAAGGAUCAGGAAGAAGGAAAGGCAUAGAGAACAACAGGACAUAAAGGAAGAGGGUAAAAGGAGAGCACAACCAGUCUUUCCAUGGAGAAUGAAAGAACUUUUGAGAGGAAUCUACUAUGCAUCAGUAGAAAGAUACAGGAUAAAAACACAAAGAGUAAUGGCUCAGGAUCAAAGACAAGGCCAAGGAGGAAGAGCAUUUCCUGUAUUCAAUGUACCAAAGCCUAAGGAGAGCAGUUGAGCAGCCAUCAAAUUCAUUUACACACAUACAAGAAAGUUCAGCUUUCAAUCAGAAACGAUAUUGUCUUGCCAGUGGGCAAGUCAGAAUGUCAAGAGUUGGACAAAAUAAAAACCAACUUAAAAUUUUCAAGUAUUUUAACUUAGCAUUAAUUAUGUGGAUUUAUAAAUCAAUUAAUUUUCACGUAUUUUAAUUUACUAUUAAUUAUGUGGAUUAAUAUAUAUAUAUAUAUACACACAAAUAUAUACAUAUAAAGAAAAUAGUUACUUUAUGGGUGUUAUUUUGUACACAUAUUUUUCAGUUGCUUUUCCAACUCCUUGUUUGUUCUGUACACAGACAGACUCUCAAUCAGCAUGUGCUUAAUAAUAAACUGCACGUAAUAAUACAACACUCACCUUUUCGUCUGAUAGACAUAAGACAAACAAAUAAAGACGAGGCAUUAAACAUAAGCAAACCUCUCUCCUGCUUCAGUUCAGGACAAACCAGAACACAAACAGAGCAACUCAUAUAAAAUAUUUUCUCAGUAAUAUAACAUCAAAAUUUUCGUUGCAAAGAUGUUUAAAUUCAUAUGAUGCCUUUCCGUACAGCACUGAGAUGAAACAAACUUUAAACACAGUUUUCUUUAGACAGAAUCAAUUUCCCCAUCACUGACUGGCCAGAAGAUGGACUCAGCUCUGUUGUGCAUGAGCCUGUACUUCUUGGGUUGGCCUUUAAUUGCUCAAGAAAAAGGACCCAAACUAACAUGAAUAUUGAAAGAAAGAGAAUGUCACUAAGUUUCUCAACAGUCAUCAUAAUGACUUUGGUCUGCUGUCUCUCAUUUUUAACUAUAAAUGCUUUACUUCAUAGCUAUGUUUGAAUUCUCAAAAGUCAUUAGAAAAAGCAAUUAUAUUUUGGUGUUUUACAGCAGUGUAAUUUGACAGUAGGGAAAGGCAAUAUGAGAGAAUGUGAAAUCAGUAAAGCAUUAUGUUGCCAUAACACAGGAGACAGGAUUCUCCUUCUCAUUCAUUACCUAAACUGUAAAACAAUCUUUUCCCACCAGUAAACAAGUCAUACCUGAAAAUUAUGUUUCCUGCACGAUCAGCCUUCCAUGCCUUCACAAGAGCAAAAUCUCCUGUAAUAGAUUUCUCUAGAAUAAAGUGACGGCCAUCAAACUCCCUCACCUACAGAGAAAAGUCCAAAAUUAAGAUGUAGGUUUCUUCCAACAGAUAUCACAUGUAAUACUUAUUUUAGGGGCUAAUUUUUCAGAUUAUUAUAUUUCAACUUAUUUUUGUACUCUGUAAAGUUUUUACUGAAAAGCUGUAUGAUAACAGAGAGGCAUGGAAACCCCAGUUUUAUCAUAGGGUCUAAAUCCCAGUUUCAUCAUAGUGUCUCUAGUGAAACAUCAUGAGACUCCAUAUUCCUCCUGCUCCACCUACUGGAAUUAGAUAUGCUUUGUCCUGCACAUGUACCAGCUAACCAAAAACUGAAGUGCUGAAGCAGAAUUACUGAAAACGGUCAUAAGAACUACCCACCACCAAAUCCAAAAUUCAAGUCAAUUCAAGAUACACUACUCAAAUCAUCUAACAGGCUGAGUUUCUUUUGGUUUUCCCUGAAUUUAUGAUCAAUAUUUGGAAUGAAUGAUACUAUGCCUGGAGCCAAAAUAUGCAAGAGGGACAGAGCUAGUCUUUCAAUCCUAAAGAGAGAGAUGAAGGACCACCUCUCUUAAACUCUCUUAAUGUAGAAUGUAAAAGUAUACACAAAUAUUACUUGAGAGCUUUUUAAAAUUGCAGAAAUGGGAAGUAGGAGAAAAGUCAAUCACAUAUCAGUUUGCCAAUACCAUAAAAGGAGAUCUGAGCCUUUAUAAAAUAAUACUUCUGUGCAAAAUGGAUGUAGAGAAUGGAAUCAACAAAUCAUGCUAGUCAUGUUAUUAGUACUCCAUCAUUAUUAGACUGAGGAGACUAAGGGAGAUUUUCACACAAAUGUCAAAAAAAAACAAAUUAAGAAAAAUAUUAAUUUUUUUUUUAUAAUUAAGAAAAAUUAUAAAGUAUUUAUUGAAAAAAACAUUCCUCCAAAUGGUAAAACAUCAUAAUGAUGUAUGCAGUAAAAAAAUUUAAGAGAAUAUAAAAGAUUAGGACUAUGUAUAGAUACUGCAAAUAGUCAUGUAUAAAAUACAUGGGUUAGGAUGGAAUUACCUUUACCCCAGAAAUGCUCUUGAGGCGAAAUUUAAUGUGGUAUGCAGCCUAAUUGGAACACACAAUAUUAGCCCCACUCAAUUCUUUAAGAAAAUUUAUGGCACUGAGACAUCUCUUCCCUUCUCCAAAUUCUACAUCCAACUUCAAAAUUAAACCCUUGUUUCCCCCUUGAAAGCCACAGUCUUUUUAUUUCUUUGCAGUUUUAAAAACUGCGACUAAAUUGCAUUUCAAAUGUUGGGAUAUACAGUUCCUAAAAUUUGUGUCAACUGAUCUCCUCCAAGUUUAACAUGAGAAUGCCCCACUUCUUCUAAGGCUGAAGCUCCAUGUGCAGCUGCUCCAUGUGCUAUUUACUGCAUAGUGCUGUAUUUAAGGAGCACCUGCCCCACUAAUAGGUUUUGGUUUGAAUUUAAUUUGAAUACACAGUGAACCUGGUCAGAGAACAGUCAAGUGAAAAGUAACUCACAAGGCAGACUUUUUCACUUGGACUAGGUCUUGAUGCUAAAUCACUCUAGAACUGUAAAAACUUCACAUCACAGAGGACAGCAGUAAGCAAUGGAAGCAAAGCUAAUGUGUCUGGUACCACAUAUAUCCAGCUAAAUGAAUAGAGUAAAGCUAAAUUUAACUCCUUCUUAAACACCUGUUUAUCUUGUAAAUAUGUUAGAAAUUAAUUUUUCAAUGCUGAAGGCUUCCUAGUGGCAAUCAGACCUCUUACCUCUCUCGGCUGGCUGGCAAUGGCAAUGGUGCCAUCUGUGUUGUACUUGAUGGGUGCACCCCCUUCCUGCACCAGCGUCCCAUAGCCAGUACUGGUGUAAAAUGCUGGGAUUCCUGCUCCUCCUGCUCUAAUACGUUCAGCAAGUGUACCCUACGGGAAAACACAUUUAAGAAAUCAUCAUUUGGGAACAACAAAUCAAACUCUGAUGAAAAUCUUGCAUUAACUUUAUUUUAUAUCUGGUUCAUUCUUUCUGCACACUGUAGACAGGUAUGAUCAUCUAUUUCUUCCUCACAUUUUAUCUUUCCCAUGUGGGACUAGUACUGGAUGUGGAAAGAAAUGCUUGACACACAGUCAUGAACUGCUCAAGAUGACACUGUCAUACAACUAUCUUCCAAAUGCCAGGGCCCAGCACUUGGCUGUGUCUCCUCUCCUUCACUUUCUUUCCUGACCAAUUACUCUUGAGAAUAGUACAGAGUUCUUUUUCUCUUUCCCACCUGGCUACAUAUCCUAGAAGGUUUUUCUUCUCUAACAGAAGCACAUUCUUCAACAUUUUAAGAAAAACAUCAGAACCCACUCCUAGUCAAAACAGCCAAGCAUGGCAGAUUGAGAAAGAAAGAGGGAGUCCAGUAAUUUGGGUUCCCCGUGCCAAGAAUACCAAAAAGCUAACAGAGCAGUUCUUAUACUCUCUUUGACUGCACUGUCUGCACUCUUCUCUGUGUCCAGCUAUUAUACAGGAUACUGACAUCAAAAAUUCCUCAUUUGCCUUAAUUAUGGGUUUAUGGCCAAAGAUGUGUGUUUGCUUUUCAUAAGUGUCAUUUCCCAGAUUUUUUUUUAUAUUCUUUUGGAUUCAAAGCAAGACAAUAACUUCAUGUUCAAUUACCCAGUUUAACAGCCUCUACAACAUAGAUUUUAUUUUCCCCAGUUAUCCUGCAGGAAGCAUAAUGGCCUCUGGUUGGUUUUCAAAACGGUGGUGUGAUAUAUACUAUAAAAUAAUUUGUGCUAAAUGAAAUAAAAUAAAAACCCGACAGCAUUCUGUGUAUAGAGAACUCAAAUAGGAAGGCAGCUGUCCAGAAAUGUAUAUUCCAGGGGAUUGCUCUGGUCUGACAGGAGGCAUUUUGAUAAGCAUCACCAGCAAUCACAAACUAAGUGAUAGAAAUUCAAAUACCAGGAAGACAAUACCUCCAGAGACGUAUAUUCCAAUGUAUAUUCCAAGGGAUUUUUCAUCUGACCAGACUCCAGCAGGAGGCAUAUUGAUAAGCAUCAUUAGAAGUUUUUCCCAGAAAGUUUUUUUCUGAUGGGAUUCCAGCAAUUAUCCACUAGUUCCAGAAAACACAAUGAUAUGCUAAAGAAGAACCCCUUCCAGGGUACAGAAAAACUGUAUAAAAGGGACCCUCUGAGAACUACUCUUUGGAGACCCAUGGGGACUUUGGUACAAAAGGACCAAAUCCUACAUCUCCCCAAUUCUGACUGCCCGGCUCAGAGUCGAUUUUAGCUUGUGGCUUAUUCCAAAUUUAUACUUUGAUAAUUUCAUAAAUUUCCAUAAUUAUUUAAUUGGAGUAUUCACUUAUAACAGUGGCAAGAGGCACAUGCAAACUAUGCAAUAAUGCAGAGUCCUGUGUUCUAAGAAGCCUUAUAAUUUCAAGAUCUCACCGUGAUGUUUUCCUUACUGUUCAACAAUGAUACAAGUCUCCCAUUUUGCCUAAGGUUAUACCACACUAUUUUAGGAAAGACCAUUUUUCUUGACACAAAUAUUUCAAAUCCCCACAUCUCCUAGCAGAUAAUUCAUUCACCUUAUUGUUUCCCCUUAUAUACUGUAGAUCCAUUAUUUCCAUAAUAAUCUGGAUUUACAUAACUUAUCUGUAGUCUACUGGGCCAACUACCUUUCUAAGGAGUUCAUGGUCCCCUAGGUGAAAGUACUGAACAUUAAAUAGGAAGGAAAAAAAUUGCAUUGUGAGAUUUGUGACAUUUGAAAGAUCAGACAUGACAAGUGUCUGGCUAUUUUCCGGUCUGCUGACUGUGUAUAAAAGGAACUUUUCUACUCAUAUCUGUAAUUCUGAGAAACAUUCUCUCACAGCACCCUCAUAGGCAAGCUCAGGAAGAGUAGACUGGAUGAGAGGGCAGUGAGAUCAGUUGUGAGCUGGCUGAAUGGCAAUCCCAGAUCAUUACAAUCAGUGGCACAGGAUCUAGUUGGAUAGUAUCUAGACAGUAUCUGUCACUAAUGGUGCCCCCAGGGGUCAAUACAGGGCCCAGUGUUGUUUAACUUUUCAUCAAAUGCUUGGAGGAAGGGCAGAUGCCUCCUCAGUCUGUUUGCUGAAGACACAAAGCUGGGAGGGGUGGCUGAAACCCCAGAGAGCUCUGCAGCCCUUCAGAGGGACCUUGGCAGGCUGGAGAGAUGGCCAGAGAAAAACAAUCUGAAAUUCAGCACAGGAAAACCCAGGGUCCUGCACCUGAGGAGGAAUGAUCCCAUGCACCUGUACAGACCAGGGGCUGGCCUGCGGGGCAGCAGCUCAGUGGAAAAGGACCUGGGGGUCCUGGUAUCCAUGAGCCAGCAGUGUGUCCUUGGGGCCAAGGCCAGUGGCGUCCUGGCAUGCAUCAGGAAAAGCAUCUUCAACAGGAGAUGGGAGCUUCAUCAUGGGAGCUGACUCUGCCUUUCUACAGAGCCCCGGUGAGGCCAUGUCUGGACUGCUGUCUCCAGUUCUGGGCUCCUCAGGACAAGAGAGAAAUGGAACUCCUGGAGAUGGUCCUGGAGUGAAGGGUAACAAAGAUGCUUAAGGGAAUGGAGCAUCUCUCUUAUGAGGAAAGGCUGAGGGAGUUGGGCCUGUUCAGCCUCGAGCGGAGGUGACUGAGAAGGGACCUUAUCAAUGCCUGUAAGGAUCUGUAAGAGGAGGUAUCAGGCUCUGUUCAGGGGUCCUGAGCAACAGGACAAGAGACAAGGGGCAGAAACUGAUGCACGGCAAGUUCCACCUGAACAUGAGGAAGAAAUUCUUUACUGUGACAUUGAGCACACACUGGAACAGGCUGCCCAGAGAGGUCAUGUAGUCUCCUUCACUGGAGAUAUUCAAGCACCAUCUGAACACAAUCUUGUGCCAUGUGCUCUGAGAUGACCCUGCUUGAGCAAAGAGGUUGGACCAGAUGACCCACUGUGGGUCCUUCCAACCUGACCCAUUCUGUGAUUCACAAGAGAGGGAGCUCAAGACACCAAUCUUAAUGAAAACUUAACACAUUUGUUUUUCUCAGACAUUUAUAUAAAUAGAUGUUUAAAGCCUAAAUUUUAUGUGUCACCUCUGAAAAUGCCACAGACUAACAUGCUGUAGUCUUUAAAGUUAGAACACCAACUUCACAGAAGCUGAUCUCAAUACAACAUAACUGAUCAGUGAUUUUAGGAUCUCAUUGCUUUCAUGCUAUUUGGGUAGCUUGGCAGUGCUAAAAUAAUUAAAAAUACGGUGCUAAAAAGUAAAGUUUUAAAUUUGCUUAUAACAGUAUACACAGAUUAAUUUCACUAGGAGUUAAUGAACAAGCAAAAAAUCUAUCUCACAAUGAAUGACAUCUCCGAAUUUGAUUCCUGCCCACUAGAUGGCAGGCAUUGCACAUGCACAUCCCCAAAAACCUGCCACCAAGAUGGGACCAGAGCAGCUCCUUGACUUGCUUCCUUUUAUAUGGGGCCACAGUACUGAGCAUACUUUAUGCCUUUUUCUACCAUCUCCACACGUGUGUGUAGAUAUUUAUAUAUAUUUUUUUUUAAACUUCAGAUUAAUAUAAUCUAUUAUGAAUUAUUUUGUUAAAUUAAAGGAAUUCACACAAGUAACACAGUCAGUUCUUAACAGAUGCAUGACCACAAGAUGGUGUAUCGGCUUUGCAAGGUUUUGGUAGCUAGAGGGGUGGUUUCCGUCAGAGUAUGCCAGAAGCUUCCCCCAGUGCCCACAGAACCAGUGCCAGCUGGUUCCAAGAGUAAGCCCAUCAGCAACAGUGGUAGUGCCUCUGGGACAGCAUAUUGAAGAAAGAGAACCUCUUGCACAGAUGUAAGUGCAUCCAGAGCAGAGAGGAGUGAGAAUAUGUGAGAGGAACAGCUCUGGUGUUCCUCUAGCAUCAAGGUGAGUGAAGGAAGAGGGUCAGGAGCUGCUCCAGGUGCCAGAGCAGAGAAUCCCCUGCAGCUGUCCCUAUGCAGCCCAUGGUGAGCCACGUGGGAGCACAAACCCACCUGCAGCCCCUGGAGGACCCACACCCAAGUAGGUAAAUGCCUGAAAGAAGACUGAGACCCUAUGGGAAGCCCAUGCUGGAGCAGGCUCCUGGCAGGACUUGUGACUCCACAGGGAAUUCACAUUGGAGAAGGAAGAAGGUAGGGUUGGAGUAAAGUGUGUAGAGGAAGGGGGUGUUAAGAUUUGGUUUUACUUCUCUUAGCCCACUCUGAUUUGAUUGAUAUAAACUAAAUUAAGUUCCCCAAGAUGAGUCUAUGGUACCCAAGAUCAUAACUGGUGAGUGAUCUCUCUCUUUACUUAUCUCAACCCAUGAGUUUUUGUUAUUUUCUCUUCCCUGUCCAGCUGAGGGGAGUUGAGAGUGAGGCUUUGGUGAGCACCUGGAAUCCAGUCAGGGUCAGCCCACCACAGACGGCAAGUGUCUUCUGCACACAAGCAAAACAUUUGCAUUGCAAAACAAUUUUAUAAGAGUACUUAGGCAUUAUUCUACUCAAUAUUUUAGAUGAAAAGAAACCACUCUCUUAGAGACUCUCCUUACCUGUGGUGUAAGCUCAACUUCAAGCUCACCAGAUAAAUAUUGGCGUUCAAAUUCAGCGUUCUCUCCAACAUACGAUGACACCAUGCGUUUUAUCUGCUUUGUCUGAAGCAGAAGACCGAGUCCAAAAUUGUCAACACUGUGUAGAAAAUGCCAGACAAAACAGUUUUAUUGUAAAAAAAAACCACCCCACACAUAAGGAAUUGAAAACCAAAAACAAAUUCCAGCCUUUAGAGGGUAAAGCAUCAAAGUUACAAUUAAAAUUUAAUAUUUCACUGUCCAGACCUCAUCUCUUCCAAGACACAGAAUACAUCCAAAACUUCCAGUCAAAGCCAUUUCACAUGUUAGCAGCUAAAAAAUACCAGCUUGAAGUGGUGUUAUUUUACAUGUCUGCUCCUUUAAAAAGCCUUACCAAAUUAAUAAAAAGUCAAACAUGGCUUUGAGUGAAUAAAGACAUAUUUUUGUUUACACUUCUGCUCACUGAGAAAAAGACAAGUGAUUGAUUAGCAGCCCAAGGAGAAAGGGAUAUUGAUAUUUUUUAAUGCUAGUUUCUAUAUGAGGCAAGAGAAUGUUUGUAUUUAAAUUUUCUUAUAAUAGUAAAUAAUUAAAUCUCUCACUAAAUAACCACCUACUCCAACAAAGGAUUUUGGCACUACAAACAAGAUUUUCUUCUCUGCAUCAACUGAAAUUGAAUGCCAGAGACGUUAUACAACAUUUUUCUUGUGCCAGUGCUUCUAAAAUUCUGAUAUCCUUCAUUAUGUUUGUAUGCUAUAUUGUGUAUUAAUGGAUUAGAAACAUCUUUCAGGAGUUCCUGCAAGCAAGGUUUCUCUGCAAAAAAUGCUACUUCAAUUCAAGGAAAUAUGAGUUUAACAUAUAAAUAUGGAAAUAGGCAUAGAUGAUAUUAUAAAGACAUGUUUUUUUUUCACUUUUCCAGAACAUUAUGCAGGAUGCCAGGAGACUGGUACAUGUAUGUGAAGCUUCUCCACCUUUAAGUUGGUCCCUGCACCACGUAAGCAGAGAACUCAGACCUUCCAGUCCCUCGACAAAAAAAGAUGCCAUGAUGCAGAAUUACCUCACAAAAAAUGAUGUAUACCUGCCACAAGCUGGCUCAAUUCAAUAUGACUUAAUUAUUCACACAAUGGCCUGAUGCUUCAGGAUAAGAAAUACAAAAUAUUAAAAUAUUAUUUUAAGAUAUCAAUCAUUCAGCACUUUGUAAUUAACACACAUGUGCUUACAAUAUAUGAAUCCUGUUGAAAACAGCCUUCCUGAAGAAAAGCUCCAAAGAAAGACCAGAUUUAAGAACUUUACUAUUAUGCAGUAUUCAUUUUCAAAUAUAAAAGUGGAAAUGCUUGCCAGCCAUAGCUCAGGCUGCAGUGCUGCAGGUGAAGGGAGGGGGGCUGAGCGUGCAGGACCAGCACCAGCUCUUCCUCUGCCACCACAACGCUCUGAGAGCUGCAUGGACAGACAUGCAGCCCCAGUGCCUUCGCAACUGCAUGCAUCAUGAGCACUAUUUUAAGGUUAGGACUAUUUUUAGGAGGUGGCCCACUUCAGUGCAUACUCAAGCACUUUGGAAACUGGAUGAGAGGAAGUGAAACAAGCUUGUCUGACCUGGUUCUCUGAGUUUAUUCUGUGUUCUCCACAUACAAAAGAAUAGGAUUUAUAAUAAAAGCUUGCUCCACUCUCCAACUCUGACCGAUUAAAAAAAAAGUUAAAAAUCUAACCAUGAUGCAACUUCUAAAAUAUUCUGGUGCCAAAGCCUUGGGACUAAAAUGUGCGUUGCCUAGAAACAACCCAUGUUUCUAGCUCCCCACAAGAAAAAAUAUUCUCCAGCCUGAAACUAGAAGAGCUAAGAAUAGAGAAGAAAGAGGAGUCUUGUGGGCAAAAGAGAUUAAAAAAAAUAAUAAAAAAUAAAAAGCCAGAAAUUCCUGUAUAGAUUAAUUUAAAGCAGAACAAUUCCUCUCACAUUAAAACCAUCUAACCCUGAUGUCUCAUUAUAAAAGGUAAUAAACAAAUGUCAAAGACCAACCAACAUCUGAUGGCAGUUAAACAGGUUGGUGUAAAUAUGGCACCGUGUGGCAAAAGUGCAGAAUUUAAAUAAAACAGUGCUUUCUAGUGCAAGAACAACAGGAAGCUUCCUGAACUGCUUGCAAGCCAGUUUGCAAUCUCUGUGUAUCAUUCAGGUGGUUAACACUGCUUUUAUCAUUACAAAACUUGGAAGCUACCAAAUAGAAAAAAAACUUUUGCAUGAAGACAAUUAAAUACUGCAUGCAUCAAUGUAAGAAAAGAAACAGAGGGUCAGGACCAGAUUUGUACUGGUUAAAGAAAUUUCUCCUUCAUUUCACUAAGAUACGUAAUCCUUGCUCCCAGAUUCUCAGAGACAGCUAUUGAAGCAUAUUGUCCUUAACAGGAUUUUGCAUAUCGUCCUGCAGGAUUCCACGAGUAUAUAGUUGAUUCCCUGAUCUACUACUGUGAGCCAAAUGUCUUGACACUGUCUUCAGGCACCUUCUUUUCCUAGGACAUUUUCCCACAUGUCUGAUUGUAAAUUGCUAAAUGGAAAGCAAAAAAUAGAGGAUGAAGCCCUCUGAAGAAAAAAGAAACUCUCUAUAGACUGAAAAAAGAGGGGGAAGAGAGAAGUAUAGUGUCUGCACUGGAGCCUUGUCCUUCUGCUACCGAAGUAUUCUCAUGGGAACUCUUUCCUCUCUGCUCUCAUAAUUUCCUCUUGAGUCUCACAGCAAAAUGGCAGUAUUGUUCCACCACCCUCCUCCAAAAAUGAUGCUCUUCUCCUGUGACACUGAUGGAUGCAGGCAUAUAGGCCAAGUCCAUACAAGGCAGAUAAUUUCUGAAGAGGAGAAAUACUGUAGAUUGCAUGGUUACAUCAGCAGCAGUCUCCUCUCUCCACAUUCCUUUCUGGUAUGAAAUGGUGUACUGUGUCUUCAUAAUAACAAGUAAAACAACUCUAUUCAGAAGGCCCAAAAUGUACCAUAUUUUUCCUUUGCAGAGAAGGUAUAUUGCAUAGAAGUAAUCUGAUAAAUAUUUAAAUUUCAUCAUGAAUGCAUUGCACUUCAGAAGUCACCUAGCUGAAAGAUAGGCUUAACUUUAAUUGUCAUUUCUAUAACCAAUUCCUCAACCAUGAGGAGUUCUGUAUCUAUUUUUUUCUCACUCGUCAUCAUAACCAGAAAGUUAUCUCCACAGCUGAUUUCUCAAUAGUUCCACGUAGUACAAAGUUAGUACAAUUUGCCCUGCCAAAAUCCUAAAUCACCUCCACACUAAAAUUAGCUAGAUGACCCAGGCAGAUUUUCAGGGAUUUGCGGCUCAAACAGUGUCAGCAAUUUAACAGCUGCAAUAAAGCACCUGAUUCGUUUUUUUUAAUAAAGAAUGAAGACAAUUUAAAAAAAAAAUCAAAUUCAAAUAAUCAAAUUCACUGAAAAAUAUAUAGUCUCCUGAUUUUGGCAAUUUGCCAUGUGCAGGAUUUUACAAAACUCCGCUCUUCUCUCUCUACCAAGAGAGGUAAGUGUCACCCAUGGCCUUCUUUUUAAUUUCUGAAAAUAUAUCUAAUUUGGGAUAUUUGAAUAAUUUCUAAUAAAUAUACAAAAAUUACACACACGAUAUAAGACACUCUGAGCAUCACCUUGAUCCCAUCUUUGUGUACAUACAAGCCUCCUUGCCUGUUCCUCAGAUACUUUCAGUUACAUUGUAACUUUCUGAACCAAGAGAUUGCCUAAUUUGUUCCACUAAAACCACUCAAUACUUAAUACCAUAUGGAAAAACUUUAUAACCUUCUGUGAAUUUAAAAUGUAAUUUCCACGUGAUGGUAUUUUUAAUAUAUAUACAUUUACAUUUUAAUAUGUUUUUAAUAAGGGCAAGUAAGAUAAAGACAGAGAGACAGACAGACAGAUAGAUAUUUUAGUAAGAAAAACAGUGGAAUUAAGCCACAUGUGUUACAUGCAAGAAAAACCAGGAAAUUCAUGGCAAAUAUGACAGACACAUUCUGGUUUUAACAGAAAAAUACAAUUCAAAGCAACAACAGGAAAAUGUGAUAACCUUGAACUUUAACUUACAGAACAUUUAUCAAGGCAUCUUAAAUCCAAAUUAUUUAAUUUCAAAGAAUAUAAAGGUAUAUUUUGUGCUUCAGAAUAUGGGGUGCAGUGAGUUUACCACUGCAUCUGAUUGCACAGAGUACUGCCUUUUGGGGAUUUGGGAACCACAAAUAGCCCAACCCAUCAGGAAAACAAGAGUAUUGUGCUUAACAGAGCUAAGUAAUGGCACUCAGGCAUCAUGCUUAAAAGUGCAAAUUAUUAUCUCAAAGUCAUCUUUUCCUCCCUAAUGCAUAACAUUGCAACAUUAAAAGACCUUCAGAAAGAAUACAGAGACCAAAGGUUCAAAAAGCUGAUAAUGCCUUGUAAGAGCACAGUCUGAACCAGUGAUAAUCUGACAGAUGCUGUCAAUCGCCUUUCAGAUGAUCACCCAGGUGAUAAGCAAUUAUGAUCUUAACUGUGACUUCUCUAUUUUUAGUGUAAGUGAAAACCUUUUAUUCAACACUUCUGCAUUCAAAAAGGAUGCAUUUUUAAGUCUCAAAAACAGACAAAACCAAAAUUAGAUAAAACAAUCAGAGCACACACACAGUUAUCACAAAUAAUGGGCUUAAUUUUCAGUCUGCAAAAGUCAGCCCAUUCAGGCUGUAGAUACAAUGAAAAUGCUGAUUUCAGUAUGUGAUUAUAGCCAAAAUUAUUUAUCCAUUUUAUUAAGCAUAAUUAAUUAAAAUAAUUAUUUCAUGCACGUUUUUAAAAUUUUCAUUUUAAAUAUCUGGCUAUGUUGAUAGUUUUUGUUGCAACCCAGGUCCUGAAACAACAGGUAGCCUGCAUUAGCAAAGUCUUAGCAUAGGCUCAGCCAAAACAGCCAAGUCCCAAGUUCUAAGUAACUUAAAAUCAGAAUGCAACAAGAUACGAUGAAGUUACAUGGAGAUGAGAAAAUAGCCAAAAAGGUAUGGUAUACUAAUCACAACUAAGUUAGUAAUUUACUGAACCAAUGUUUAAAAUGAGAUUUUAAAAAUUUAUUUAUUUAUCCAUUGAUUUACUUUCAUUUAUUUACUAUUUUCAACAUUUUUAUUCAUUUUAACACUGGCAAAUGUGGAACAAACAAAAUUAAAACAAAAACGAAGAAAAGUCAUAAUAAAAUGGAUUUUGGUAACCUACUGAGACAGAAUACUCUCAAUUUAAAGGGCUUACAAAAACACAGUGUAAAAAAGUAUUUACAAUAUGAACAAUAUAAGCAAAACAAGUUAUAGGGGAAGGUGUGAGAGGAUGUAUUUUAGAAGCACACCUAUCUAUUGCAGUUAUCUUGCACUAUUGCCCUGGUUCACAAGCUUCAGUUUCCCCUGCAGCAAGUUGUGUAAAUACCAGAGCUACUGGAUGUUUGAACUGCUUCACUUUCAAACACUUUGCCUUGUUUGGCUUGGCAAAAGAGUAACUGCUCUUAAAGGUGCUGUUUCGCUGGCUAGCACACAGCAUGAGCAUGAGCACAAUGUGCAGCAGCACAGAGUAAGCUGAGCAGGGUGACAAAGACCACCCCAUUACACUACAACCUGUCAUUGAAAAGCCUUAAAUAGGCCAAAAAACAGGACUUCACUUGCCGGCAAUUACAUGAUUUGAACAAGUUUUUGCAGGAGGAUUCUCCUCCCAAUGACACUGCAGCACAGAACAGUAAGUAGGAUGUCAACUUGUGAACAUCCUACUCCUUUAAAGUUGUUUCCAGACACUGCCAAGCAUUUCUAGGCUCUGCUGAACCUUGUUUCCAGCUAGAAAAGUUGGCAAGAACACUUCAGGACUUCCUAAUUACUGCUUUCCCUGAGAUGUAAGCGAAUCGCUGUCUCCAUUGCUGCUAUUUUAGUUAUAAACAGACAGCUCUGUAACAUUCCGUGGCUCUCACAUAUUGAAAGGCAUGUGACUUAAUCCAUGUAGCUGCACUGCUCUCCAGAAUAGGCUGUCUGUCCGUGCACUUGGCUCCUUCCCUGCUCCAAUUACAGGCUGCCUGCUAACCCCUGCAGGACGAGAAAACCUGACCACAACCAAUUACCUCCUAUUUGCUGGAAGAGCUGGAGAAAAGAAAGCAGUUGCAGUCAAGAAACUGAAACACAGCCAGGCAUCAACUGCAACACAAGGUCACCAAAGAAAAGCACGCUAGACCAUAUGGCAAUUUGGAAGUGGCAAAUUACUCAUUCCACAAAGUGCCUGACACCUCAACUUACAGGGACAAUUGACCCUUUGAAUACAACUGCUGUAGGGUAUAUGACUGCUGUGCUACUUCAGUUGUAAAAGCAUUUAUUAGUGUUCCAAUAUUUGAUAAUACCACUAAACUUUUGGACAUGGUAUUAGAAAAUGCCUAGGAGAUGCAUGGUAUAAGAAAAACAUGUUUUUUAACAGGAUAAUUAAGAGAUUGGAAAUUAUAUCAAUUGCUGUGAUGAGAAUUCUGAUUUUAUUUCUGACAACAGCUGUGUUUUAACCUGUUUUCCAAAGACUACCAUACUAUAGCAGGCUACGUUUCACAUAGUAGUAAUACAGUAAAUGCAAAGAUAGAUUAAAGAGUUAUUUUAUUAUUAAUUACAUUUAAAAAUAAAUUAUACUGUUCAACAGGAGAGUAAAACUUGGUUUUCUUUACAAACUGGACUUUUAGAAAAAAACUCUAGAUGCCCUUGAGCAUUUUAAUUUUGUUACACUGUUCUGUGAGGAACUCUCCAGGCUUUCAUGAACGCUCAUACAAAACUAGUUGCAAGAGAAUAGGAAUUAAAUUGUGCUUUCUUGCCAGGAGCCAAUAGUUUUACAGAAAUCACUUCCACCUCAAAAUCCAAAGAACUUUCAGGAAAGUUAACAUUAUUUCAACAUAAAUUAAUUCUAACCUAUAACAUCAGCAACUAUAUUCAGAAUAGAAUACAAAAUGUCUUCCUUUUCAUCCUAUUUCACAGUGCUCCUCUUUCUACUUUUCUCAUAUUCAGACUUUCACCUCCCCUCCAGGAACAUCUGUGCAAUCUCUCUAUCUGCAAAUAUAUGUGUGUUAUUCAAAAAUAAGACUAUGAGGAAAGUUAAUGAUCACUACUCUAGUGCUUGAUCUUUCCAUUCAAAAUUAUCUCUCUUUCUUUCUCCUUUUUAUCAUCCAGUAGAAAUUGUUUCCCAUAAGAUUCUAAGAAGCUUAAAUUUGACUGUAUAUGUACCAAAUACCAAUACAAAUAAUAUGUUAUCCAAUGAAUAUGCAAUUAAUAUUUUACACAUUAAUAUUUUAUCUAAUUUCAUUUAUAUUUUCAUCAAUGUGCUUCAACAGAAGUGGUUGUAGUUAUUUCUCUAUAUGGAGAUCAUUAGGUAUUGUGGAGCUUACUUGCAAUGAGCUUGUGUAAAAAUUAGCCUGAAUGAGAAGAUGAGAAAUUAUACAUGAAAGAAGUAUUCUCAAUUUCAACCCCACAUGAAUUUCUUAAGGGGCAAACAUUACAAACAAAUAAAUCAAAAAUCUGAAGACCCAUUAAAGAGACUCGACAUUCAUUCAUCACAGAUAUUCUCUGCUGUUUUUGUGUUGCUUGGAGUUUUUUUUAAACUAACCAAUACAGUAAGAGGGUCAGAAAGCAACAAACUGAGUUUAAAAAAUAUAUCCCUAUUUGGAACUUCACAAAAAAACAUACACACAAAAUCACUAAUACUAGAUUUAAAGCCUCUCAGUUAGACUUUCCGGUUACAGCCAACCAGUUAAAUAUGCAUAAAUUUAAAUAUAAAUAUUUAUAGUAACAUAACCAUAUUACUGCAACUGCAACUCUACACCAUGACAAUUGGUCCUUGACAAAGUUGAGUAUACUUAUAGCACUGAGCUUCCUGGACUCCUUCCAAAAAAAACAUUUUCAAACCAAGCUGUCUGGUUAAUACAAAAUUAUGAUGGUGAAAAGAAAGACUUUUUCAUAUAUAUCAGCCUUUUCACAUAAUUGGAAUUUUUAUUCUGUACUUUUUAAACCACAGACAUAUGAAUACCUACCCUGCAUUGUUACUGACUGCUGUUAUUCCCUUUACCCCAGUCUUCAGUAAACCCCCAAUGAGGUUUUCAGGAAUCCCACACAAUCCAAAACCUACACAAAAUAAAAAAAAAUUGAUUAUGUAACAAGUGUUUGAAAGAGCACAGAAUGUUCAGAAGUAUGGGAAUUAAAAAUCUAUUCUGAGAAGCUCCUUAGUCAAAUAAAUAAACCAAUGUUUCCAGAAAGAUUUGUCCUCUAGUACUGGAAUCUCCCACUCACCAGACACUUCCCAGUUUGGAGAAAGCUCUUUACCCAUCAGAGUGGGUUUUUAGGGAAGUGCUCCAGGGCCAUGGCUCUCCUUAUAUGUGUUCUCAACCCUGUACCCAUCAUUCCUCCUUCUCUUUCCACCCAUUUAACCUUCCUAUCUUUGCUGCACAUCCCAUAUCUUAGCCUGUGAAAUUCGGUGACAAAACUCUGGGAGUCUGAACACCCUUGGGAGGAUAUCUGCCUGGAAUCACAGUAAUCUAGAUCUCCACCAAGGAACAAGAGCCUCACACUCCCACCUAUUAUGCAAGACUCCAGUACAUCUAAAAUGAAAUAAUAUGUCACACUACAAGCACUACCUUUUCACAGAAUCACAGAAUCAAUUAGGUUCUAAAAGACCCCUGAGAUCUGCAAGGCCAACCUAU